CCUACGGGGGGCUGCAGUGGGGAAUAUUGGACAAUGGGCGCAAGCCUGAUCCAGCCACGCCGCGUGAGUGAUGAAGGCCUUCGGGUCGUAAAGCUCUGUGGGGAGGGACGAACCGCCACCGGUUAAUACCCGGUGGCAUGACGGUACCUCCUUAGCAAGCACCGGCUAACUUCGUGCCAGCAGCCGCGGUAAUACGAAGGGUGCAAACGUUGCUCGGAAUCGUUGGGCGGCGGGUGAGCGUAGGCGGCGUGAAAGCCCUCGGCUCAACCAAGGAAGUGCUUUCGAAACUGCUGAGCUUGAGUACUUAAGAGGAUCGCGGAAUUCCCGGUGUAGAGGUGAAAUUCGUAGAUAUCGGGAGGAACACCAGUGGCGAAGGCGGCGAUCUGGGAAGAUACUGACGCUGAGGUGCGAAAGCGUGGGGAGCAAACAGGAUUAGAUACCCCUGUAGUC
rnacentral:rRNA from 1 species